CACUCUGCAGCUGGGUUCAACCUCAUUUCAUUUGUGGAUCCUGGGGAAGUCUCAGGCCUGUGGACACAGUUGCCUUUGGUGUAAGUGUGAGGCGCAAACACACGCAGCAGAAUGCAGAGCAUGGGGCACGUGCUGGGCCUGGCGCUUGGUGCGGCCUGAGAGAGGAGCUGGCCUGGGGGCUGCUGUGGAACUGACACCCCCCCGGGUUGGGCCUGCCAGGGGGCGUUCCUGAGCUUGGGACGGUCGGAGAAGCAGAUCGACUCUUCUGGGCACGUUCCCUUCCUAGUUCAUGGACCCCUUGGAUAUAGUCUGUGGAGCGCUGCUAGAAAACCGCUGCUCUGGGGCCCUGGGCAAGGGACACGCAGACUCUGCCCCAUCCCAGCCUUGCCCCAGUUGGCCUUAUGCCCUGCCCGAGGCCUCAGAUGCUGCUGCUGAGCCUGAUCCCCGUGGGUCCCAACCAGUCCCCACCUGCCUGCAGCCCCCACACCUCAGCGCUCAGACACCCGGCCAAUGAGACCCCCCACGUGGCCCCUGCUCCUGGGGACAUUGGGGAUGUAAAAGUGUAACUGUGUAAACGGGGAACCAAGGAGCCUGGGCCCAUUAACGUUUACGGUCACACGGGGGUCCCCACGCUCACUGGCUCCUGGGGAGCCUCCCGCUGAAACUGUAGUUACUUAAUUACACACUGUAACAUCCCCACUAGAGACCUUGCCCCUGAGUCCCCAGCCCCCCCUGCUCCCCAGACACCCUGCUCCAGGCCCCCCAGUGUCACUGACCCCAACUGUCCCCCAGUGGCGUAGAACAAACUUGUCAGCACAGUAACCGGGAACAUGCAGUAAAUGCCUUCUUGGGAAAGGGGAGCCCAGAACCUGGCCCUCCCCUCUGUGCCCCGAGUCCUCUCAGACCCCCAGCUGCCUGGUCCCAGCCCCUCCCCCAGGAAUAUCUCUGCCCUUUGUCCUGCUUCCUGGGCAAAAGGUGGCACCUGGUCACAUCCCCUCCUGGGUCAGGUGACGAAGGCAUCGGCCAUUGUUUACAUGCAGGCAGAUGGGCAGCCUCUCUGUGGCAGUCACACCCAAAAUUCCCAUCACCUCUGGGCUUUGUCUCAGUUGGGCUGGUUUGAGCAGGCCAGUGCUGGGGGCCGUGGGAGCAGCCAGAGGGAGGAGGCUGGGGGCAAACAGGGCCAUUAGCAGUGGCUCUCAGGGUGCCAUUUCUGACAGCUCCCCCCACCCCAGCAUGGAGCUCACAUCUUGUGAGGAACCCCCCGAGCUGGGGCUGUGGGUCCUUUCCACCCCCUCCCUCUCUGCCCUCCAGAGCCACCCAAGUUCGAAGUGACCCUCCAGCUGCCCCCCGUGGUGACGGUGCUGGACAAGGCGCUCCACCUGCGGGUGUGUGGCCGAUACACCGACGGGAAGCCCGUGCUGGGGAGAGUCCAGGCCACCCUGUGUCGGCUCAGAGAGAAGACGCGCCGGAGCGUGUGUGUACAUCUCACGGGCCAGACUGAGAGCGACGGCUGCCUUUCCUGGGAGGUGGGGACGCCUCCCUUCCACCUGACCCGCUCUGGCUACCAGAUGAACCUGGAGGCCAUGGCCUCUCUCGAGGAGAAGGGGACAGGUGG